CAGCCGCCGCGGUAAUACGAAGGGGGCUAGCGUUGUUCGGAUUUACUGGGCGUAAAGGGUGCGUAGGCGGACUGAUAAGUCAGGGGUGAAAUCCCAAGGCUCAACCUUGGAACUGCCUUUGAUACUGUUAGUCUUGAGUUCGAGAGAGGUGAGUGGAACUGCGAGUGUAGAGGUGAAAUUCGUAGAUAUCGGAAGGAACACCAGUGGCGAAGGCGGCUACCCGGAUUGACACUGACACUGAGGCGCGAGAGCGUGGGGAGCAGACAGGAUUAGAUACCCCGCGUAGUCCCUGUCUCUUAUA
rnacentral:rRNA from 1 species